rnacentral:rRNA from 1 species
CUGCUGCCUCCCGUAGGAGUUUGGGCCGUGUCUCAGUCCCAAUGUGGCCGUCCACCCUCUCAGGCCGGCUACUGAUCGCUGCCUUGGUGGGCCGUUACCCCGCCAACUAGCUAAUCAGACGCGGAUCCAUCGUAUACCACCGGAGUUUUUCACACUGCCCCAUGCGGAGCCGUGCGCUUAUGCGGUAUUAGCACCUAUUUCUAAGUGUUAUCCCCCGGUAUACGGCAGGUUAUCCACGCGUUACUCACCCGUCCGCCAA